AAACAUCGCCUCUUGAAUGAAAUAAGAGGUACUACCUGCUCAAUGCUUACGUAAAUAGCCGCAGUAUUUUGACUGUGCUAAGGUAGCAUAAUCAUUAGUCUUUUAAUUGAAGGCUGGUAUGAAUGGCAAGACGAGAAAAAAGCUGUCUCUAUUAAAAUUGUGAAUUUCAUUUUUUAGUGCAAAAGCUAAAAUGAUCUUAAAGGACGAUCAGACCCUAUGGAGUUUUAACUUUAUUUUUUGAAUGUGCUAUUAUUAGAUAGUUGUUUUAAGAGAGGGGUUUUGUUGGGGCGACAGGAAUUUAAGAAUAACUCUUCUUUAAUUAAACUUAAGUUAAAGGAAAAUUGAUCCCCGCUGAGGGAUUAAAAGACUAAGUUACCCUAGGGAUAACAGCGUAAUCUUUUUGGAGAGUUCAUAUCGAUAAAAACGUUUGUGACCUCGAUGUUGGAUUAAGAGUUUAACGGGGUGUAGCAGUUCCGUUGCAAAGUCUGUUCAACUUUUAAUAUCUUACAUGAUCU
rnacentral:rRNA from 1 species